UCCUCAUUAGUAUAGUGGACAGUAUCUCCGCCUGUCAUGCAGAAGACCGGGGUUCGAUUCCCCGAGGGGGAG
rfam:Tetraodon nigroviridis, WGS project CAAE01000000 data, contig: CNS0BO4R, chromosome: undetermined